rnacentral:RNase_MRP_RNA from 1 species
UGGAGGAAAGUCCCCGGCCCCGCAGCAGAAGCGCAACCCCAGCAAGACUAAGGCGACGCCGCCCACACCUGGGGCUU